rnacentral:rRNA from 1 species
UACGUAGGGUGCAAGCGUUGUCCGGAAUUAUUGGGCGUAAAGAGCUUGUAGGCGGUUUGUCGCGUCUGCUGUGAAAUUUCGGGGCUCAACCCCGAACUUGCAGUGGGUACGGGCAGACUAGAGUGUGGUAGGGGGAGACUGGAAUUCCUGGUGUAGCGGUGAAAUGCGCAGAUAUCAGGAGGAACACCGAUGGCGAAGGCAGGUCUCUGGGCCACUACUGACGCUGAGAAGCGAAAGCAUGGGGGAGCGAACAGG